UCUUUCAAUAGGAUGGGAGAAUGUUGAAUGCUUCUUCAGAUACUAUUUCUUGGAAAAGAUGAAAUGGAACUCAAAUUUUAGUGGUCGCACAAGUGUGGAGAUAGUUGAUGACCAAGUUUUUCAAUUAGUAUUUUAGUUUGAAUUUAGAGUACACAUAUGUAUGAGUUAUUUGACAAUGCUUGUUUAUGAGAGAUUGAAUGAUACCUAUCUAUAUUAUAUUAAUUAUAAUGUUAUUAAAUAAA